UACGUAGGGAGCAAGCGUUGUUCGGAUUUACUGGGCGUAAAGGGCGCGUAGGCGGCAAAUUAAGUCAGCUGUGAAAUCUCCGAGCUUAACUCGGAACGGUCAGCUGAUACUGAUCUGCUAGAGUGCGGAAGGGGCAAUCGGAAUUCUUGGUGUAGCGGUGAAAUGCGUAGGUAUCAAGAGGAACACCUGAGGUGAAGACGGGUUGCUGGGCCGACACUGACGCUGAGUGCGCGAAAGCCAGGGGAGCAAACGGG
rnacentral:rRNA from 1 species